GUCAGGUCUCUGCUUUUCGGCCACACCAAGCAGUUUGUCCACAAUCCAUCUGGUCCUGCGCGGAUCACUACUCCUGUGUUAACAUCGUCAGUGAUCCAGAGGAGCGACUCACUGAGAAAGUGGUCAGUAAUUCGAUCCAUGGACAUCUGUGAACUGAUCAUUCAGCCACAGUGGUGGAAGAUGUUCAGAUCCCUCACGGACAGGAUUGUAGCUAAAGGGGCAGUUCAUACUGAUAAUAACGUCUUUAUGUUAGGAGGGGAUUUCAAGGCCAGAAUGGACUAGUGCUGCAGCGGUAUACCGUCCUCAAGGCGUACCGUGAUACAGAAAUUGAUGGUUAUCAUACUGUGUACAUCUAAGGUAUUGAUUUCUACUCUA